rnacentral:rRNA from 1 species
CGCGUAGGCGGUUAAAUAAGUGCGUUGUAAAAGGCUCGGGCUUAACCUGGGCAUGUCAAUGUAGACUGUAUAACUGGAGUGAGAGAGAGGUUAUGGGAAUUUCCGGAGGAGCGGUGAAAUGCGUAGAUUUCGGAAGGAACAUCAGUGGCGAAGGCGAGUAACUGGCUCCUAACUGACGCUGAGGCGCGAAGGCGUGGGUAGCAAACA